UACGGAGGGUGCAAGCGUUAUCCGGAUUCACUGGGUUUAAAGGGUGCGUAGGAGGGCAGGUAAGUCAGUGGUGAAAUCCCCCGAGCUUAACUUGGGAACUGCCGUUGAUACUAUCUGUCUUGAAUACCGUGGAGGUGAGCGGAAUAUGUCAUGUAGCGGUGAAAUGCUUAGAUAUGAACAUAGAACACCAAUUGCGAAGGCAGCUCGCUACACGAAUAUUGACUCUGAGGCACGAAAAGCGUGGGGAUCAAAACAGG
rnacentral:rRNA from 1 species